UCAGAUUGAACGCUGGCGGCAUGCCUUACACAUGCAAGUCGAACGGCAGCACGGACUUCGGUCUGGUGGCGAGUGGCGAACGGGUGAGUAAUAUAUCGGAACAUACCCUAGAGUGGGGGAUAACGUAGCGAAAGUUACGCUAAUACCGCAUACGAACUAAGGUUGAAAGUGGGGGAUCGCAAGACCUCAUGCUCAUGGAGUGGCCGAUAUCUGAUUAGCUAGUUGGUGAGGUAAAGGCUCACCAAGGCGACGAUCAGUAGCUGGUUUGAGAGAACGACCAGCCACACUGGAACUGAGACACGGUCCAGACUCCUACGGGAGGCAGCAGUGGGGAAUUUUGGACAAUGGGCGCAAGCCUGAUCCAGCAAUGCCGCGUGAGUGAAGAAGGCCUUCGGGUUGUAAAGCUCUUUUGUCAGGGAAGAAACGGUAGUCUCUAAUACAGAUUGCUAAUGACGGUACCUGAAAAAAUAAACCCCCGGCUAAUUACGUGCCCAGCAGCCCCCGGUAAUACCUUGGGGGGCAAGCGUUAACCGGAAUUACUGGGGCGUAAAAGCGGGCGCAGGCGGGUUAUAUAACUCAAAUGUGAAAAUCCCCGGGGCUUCAACCUGGGGAACUGCUUUUGAAACUGUAUUGGCUAGAGUG
rnacentral:rRNA from 1 species